UCCGGUUUGGCACCGGCAGUCUCCUACGAGUCCCCAACUUAAUGAUGGCAACACGCCAUAGGGGUUGCGCUCGUUGCGGGACUUAACCCAACAUCUCACGACACGAGCUGACGACGGCCAUGCAGCAUCUGUGGUGCACCCUCGAAGGUCACACGUUUCCGUGCGCUUGCAGCACCAUGUCAAGUCCAGGUAAGGUUCUUCGCGUUGCAUCGAAUUAAACCACAUGCUCCACCGCUUGUGCAGGCCCCCGUCAAUUUCUUUGAGUUUUAACCUUGCGGCCGUACUCCCCAGGCGGAUAACUUAAUGCGUUAGCUGCGCCACCAAAAGCCCAUGGCCCCUGACAGCUAGUUAUCAUCGUUUACGGCGUGGACUAC
rnacentral:misc_RNA from 1 species